rnacentral:rRNA from 1 species
UACGUAGGGGGCGAGCGUUGUCCGGAAUUAUUGGGCGUAAAGCGCGCGCAGGCGGUUUUUUAAGUCUGAUGUAUAAGCCCAAGGCUCAACUUUGGGAGGCAUUGGAAACUGGGGAACUGGAGUGUAGGAGAGGAAAGUGGAAUUCCACGUGUAGCGGUGAAAUGCGUAGAGAUGUGGAGGAACACCAAUGGCGAAGGCAGCUCGCUGGGACGUUACUGACGCUGAGACGCGAAAGCGUGGGGAGCAAACAGG